rnacentral:rRNA from 1 species
AACGAACGCUGGCGGCGCGUCUUAACCAUGCAAGUCGAGCGGCAGGCAGCAAUGCCGAGAGCGGCGGACUGGUGAGUAACACGUGGAUAACGUACCCCGAUGUCUGGGACAGCCUGUAGAAAUAGAGGGUAAUACCGGAUAGAUCACUGUUUACGUGAGGUAGACAGCGGGAAAGGAGCUUCGGCUCCGCGUCGGGAACGGUCUGCGGCCCAUCAGCUAGACGGCGGGGUAAGUGCCCGCCGUGGCGAGGACGGGUAUCCGGCCUGAGAGGGCGGACGGACACAUUGGGACUGAGAUACGGCCCAGACUCCUACGGGAGGCAGCAGGUAAGAAUAUUCCGCAAUGGGGGGAACCCUGACGGAGCGACGCCGCGUGAACGAAGAAGGCCGGAAGGUUGUAAAGCUCUUCUCUGUUCGAGGAAUAAGUGUAGGAGGAAAUGCCUGCAUGGUGACGGUAGGGCAGGAAUAAGCACGGCUAAU